AUCAACCAAGGAUAGAUUCCAGAAUACCUAUCUAUCCACAACCUAGCAAUAUUAUCUAAGGGUUCGCAUUCGCUAACUAACCAAGCAACCGAAUAAUUAGCAUGCUACUACGAUUCCCAAGCAAUAACUAAGCAUGCUAUCAACUCAAUCAACCAAACCUCGACUAUUAACUAAUCAAACCGAUACUCAGUUAGACCCGGCCUCCUGCCAUGAUCCAACUUCCAAGUAACGGGAACCUGCAUGAAAACAAGUCAGCAAUCAAUUGUCGUGACUCACUGUGUUUGGUUCGUUGUGGCUUUGACCCUUGCCCGAAUCCUCGACCAAAACUCUUUCUUGAACUCCUCAAGUAGCCUCCUGUUCCAACUGACCUCAAAGGCAUGCCUAACCCUGAAUGGCCUUCCUUGAACAACUCUCAACUCAAACAGAAACUCCUUUAGGCGGC
rnacentral:lncRNA from 1 species